GAUGAACGCUGGCGGCGUGCUUAACACAUGCAAGUCGAACGAGAAUCUUUGGAUAGAGACUUCGGUCAAUUGAAGAAGAGGAAAGUGGCGGACGGGUGAGUAACGCGUGAGUAAUCUGCCUUGGAGUGGGGAAUAACACAGAGAAAUUUGUGCUAAUACCGCAUGAUGCAUCUAGGUCGCAUGGCUUUGGAUGCCAAAGAUUUAUCGCUCUAAGAUGAGCUCGCGUCUGAUUAGAUAGUUGGCGGGGUAACGGCCCACCAAGUCGACGAUCAGUAGCCGGACUGAGAGGUUGGCCGGCCACAUUGGGACUGAGACACGGCCCAGACUCCUACGGGAGGCAGCAGUGGGGAAUAUUGGGCAAUGGGCGCAAGCCUGACCCAGCAACGCCGCGUGAAGGAAGAAGGCUUUCGGGUUGUAAACUUCUUUAUGAGGGACGAUAGUGACGGUACCUCAUGAAUAAGCCACGGCUAACUACGUGCCAGC
rnacentral:rRNA from 1 species